AGCGAACGCUGGCAGCAGGCCUAACACAUGCAAGUCGAACGAACUCUUCGGAGCUAGUGGCGGACGGGUGUGUACCACGUGGGAACGUGCGUUUAGGCUCCGAAUAACUCAGGGCAACUUGUGCUAAUACCGAAUGUGCCCUUCGGGGGCAAGAUUUAUCGCAUUUAGAGCGGCCCGCGUCUGAUUAGCUAGUUGGUUGGGGUAAUGGCCGACCAAGGCGACGAUCAGUAGGUGGUCUGAGAGGAUGACCAGCCACAUUGGGACAGAUGAGACACGGCCCAAACUCCUACGGGAGGCAGCAGUGGGGAAUCUUGCGCAAUGGGCGAAAGCCUGACGCAGCAAUGCCGCGUGUGUGAUGAAGGUCUUAGGAUUGUAAAAUACUUUCACCGGUGAAGAUAAUGACUUUAGCCGGAGAAGAAGCCCCGGCUAACUUCGUGCCAGCCGCCGCCGUAA
rnacentral:rRNA from 1 species